GUUGACCUCGAAUCAGGUAGGAAUACCCGCUGAACUUAGGCAUAUCAAUAAGCGGAGGAAAAGAAACCAACAGGGAUUGCCUUAGUAACGGCGAGUGAAA
rnacentral:rRNA from 1 species